rnacentral:rRNA from 1 species
UCCGCCAGGGUACUACAAGCGCUAGCUUAAAACCCAAAGGACUUGACGGUGUCUCAGAUCCGCCUAGAGGAGCCUGUUCUAGAACCGAUAAUCCCCGUUAAACCUCACCACCCCUUGCUCAUUCCGCCUAUAUACCGCCGUCGCAAGCUUACCCUGUGAAGGUCCAAUAGUAAGCAAAAUGGAUAUAACCCAAAACGUCAGGUCGAGGUGUAGCUUACGAGGUGGGAAGAAAUGGGCUACAUUUUCUACCCCAGAAUAUACGAACAACACCAUGAAACUGGUGUUUGAAGGUGGAUUUAGCAGUAAAAG